rnacentral:rRNA from 1 species
AACGAACGCUGGCGGCAGGCCUAACACAUGCAAGUCGAGCGCGCCCUUCGGGGUGAGCGGCGGACGGGUUAGUAACGCGUGGGAAUAUACCCAGUUCUACGGAAUAGCCUCGGGAAACUGAGAGUAAUACCGUAUACGCCCUUCGGGGGAAAGAUUUAUCGGAAUUGGAUUAGCCCGCGUUAGAUUAGGUAGUUGGUGGGGUAAUGGCCUACCAAGCCUACGAUCUAUAGCUGGUUUGAGAGGAUGAUCAGCAACACUGGGACUGAGACACGGCCCAGACUCCUACGGGAGGCAGCAGUGGGGAAUCUUGGACAAUGGGCGCAAGCCUGAUCCAGCCAUGCCGCGUGAGUGACGAAGGCCCUAGGGUCGUAAAGCUCUUUCAACUGUGAAGAUAAUGACGGUAGCAGUAGAAGAAACCCCGGCUAACUCCGUGCCAGCCGCCGCGGUAAU